CUGUAAUUUAAGCAAAGGGACACUUCAAAAGGGUGUGACCCGGGCGUUGGUUGACCCGGGCGUAAGGGACCGAAAUUAGAGUAGGGAAGCACACUUGGCUGAAGGCGAGAAAAGCUUUGCGUAUAGAAACAGAUGCCCGUACCGCAAACCGACACAGGUGGACAGGAAGAGAAUUCUAAGGCCAGCGGGAGAAGGGUAGUUAAGGAACUCGGCAAUUUGACUCCGUAACUUCGGAAUAAGGAGUGCUCGAAAGAGCCGCAGAGAAUAGGCCCAGGCGACUGUUUAGCAAAAACACAGGUCUCUGCCAAAUCGAAAGAUGAAGUAUAGUGGCUGACACCUGCCCGGUGCCGGAAGGUUAAGAGGAGGAGUGAGAGCUCCGAAUUGAAGCCCCGGUAAACGGCGGCCGUAACAAUAACGGUCCUAAGGUAGCGAAAUUCCUUGUCGGGUAAGUUCCGACCCGCACGAAUGGUGUAACGAUCUGGGCACUGUCUCAACUACCCACCCGGCGAAAUUGUAGUACCGGUGAAGAAGCCGGUUACCUGCGGCAAGACGGAAAGACCCCAUGGAGCUUUACUGUAGCCUGAUAUUGGGUUUCGGAAAUCUAUGUACAGGAUAGGCGGGAGACUGGGAAACAUGAGCGUCAGCUUGUGUGGAGUCGAUGUUGGGAUACCGCCCUUAGGUUUCUGGAAUUCUAACCUGCGGCCGUGAAUCCGGUCGGGGGACAUUGUCAGGUGGGCAGUUUGACUGGGGCGGUCGCCUCCGAAAAGGUAACGGAGGCGCUCAAAGGUUAGCUCAGCACGGACGGAAACCGUGCCUCUGAGUGUAAACGCAAAAGCUAGCCUAACUGCGAGGGUGACGGCCCGAGCAGUAACGAAAGUUGGAGUUAGUGAUCCGGCGGUAUGUGAAUGGAGAUGCCGUCGCUCAACGGAUAAAAGCUACCCUGGGGAUAACAGGCUGAUCUCCCCCAAGAGUCCACAUCGACGGGGAGGUUUGGCACCUCGAUGUCGGCUCAUCACAUCCUGGGGCUGUAUUCGGUCCCAAGGGUUCGGCUGUUCGCCGAUUAAAGUGGUACGCGAGCUGGGUUCAGAACGUCGCGAGACAGUUCGGUCCCUAUCUGUCGUGGGCGCAGGAUAUUUGAGGAGCUCUGUCCUUAGUACGAGAGGACCGGGAUGGACGUACCUCUGGUGCACCAGUUGUCAUGCCAAUGGCACGGCUGGGCAGCUAUGUACGGAACGGAUAAACGCUGAAAGCAUCUAAGCGUGAAGCCGACUCCAAGAUUAGAUAUCCCAUCGUAUAACGAGUAAGACCCCUUGAAGACUACGAGGUUGAUAGGCUGCGUGUGUAAGUGCCGUGAGGCAUUCAGCUUGGCAGUACUAAUAGGUCGAGGGCUUGACC
rnacentral:rRNA from 1 species